rnacentral:rRNA from 1 species
GGGCAAUUGCCUGCACUCUGGGACAAGCCCGGAAACGGGGUCUAAUACCGGAUAAUACUGUGCCCCUCAUGGGGGAUGGUUGAAAGCUCCGGCGGUGCAGGAUGAGCCCGCGGCCUAUCAGCUUGUUGGUGGGGUAAUGGCCUACCAAGGCGACGACGGGUAGCCGGCCUGAGAGGGCGACCGGCCACACUGGGACUGAGACACGGCCCAGACUCCUACGGGAGGCAGCAGUGGGGAAUAUUGCACAAUGGGCGAAAGCCUGAUGCAGCGACGCCGCGUGAGGGAUGACGGCCUUCGGGUUGUAAACCUCUUUCAGCAGGGAAGAAGCGAAAGUGACGGUACCUGCAGAAGAAGCGCCGGCUAACUACGUGCCAGCAGCCGCGGUAAUACGUAGGGCGCAAGCGUUGUCCGGAAUUAUUGGGCGUAAAGAGCUCGUAGGCGGUCUGUCACGUCGGGUGUGAAAGCCCGGGGCUUAACCCCGGGUCUGCAUUCGAUACGGGCAGACUAGAGUGUGGUAGGGGAGAUCGGAAUUCCUGGUGUAGCGGUGAAAUGCGCAGAUAUCAGGAGGAACACCGGUGGCGAAGGCGGAUCUCUGGGCCAUUACUGACGCUGAGGAGCGAAAGCGUGGGGAGCGAACAGGAUUAGAUACCCUGGUAGUCCACGCCGUAAACGUUGGGAACUAGGUGUUGGCGACAUUCCACGUCGUCGGUGCCGCAGCUAACCGCAUUAAGUUCCCCCGCCUGGGGAGUACCGGNC